rnacentral:rRNA from 1 species
GUAGUGGCGAACGAAAAGGGAAAAGCCCAGCGCAUAACCUCCCGGGCUACCAAGCCUGCGGCGGAAUGUUGCGUAAAGGGAAAGGUCGUGUACAAGUCCUGCGAGUGGCGUGGACCGAUAAGUCUGAGGAAUGAUCUUGCCCCGUCGCCCGAAAGGGUGGAGCUUGGUUCCACAGAGGGUGACAGACCCGUGUCGACGCGUCCACUUGCAAUGGAUUCGGCUUUCAUUCCCUGAGAGUCGCGUUGCUUGAGAAUGCAGCGCUAAGCAGGUCGUAAACUCGACCUAAGGCUAAAUAUUGCCACGGAACCGAUAGUAAACAAGUACCGUGAGGGAAAGUUGAAAAGCACUCUGAAGAGAGAGUGAAAAGACCGUGAAACCGUUCAGAGUAUAAACCAAUGGCUUGGAACUGGGUGGCACUGGCCUAGCAUGUAUGUGAUGGCACUUGUCUGUGUGACAGCAACGGUUGAAGCCGAGAUAAUUCGAUGGGUUUGCACAAGUUGUGCAGGAUGUUUCUCGGUCCCUGUUGGAUGGGUCUGGAUAGGCGAGAUAUUCCAUACUGGACAAACCGAGGCUCUGGCUCUUCCCGAACUACGACAAUGAGUGCAAAAACACCCCACCAGAGCUCUUUAUGAGGUCACCCACGCGAAGGCGUCUGUCAUAGCUGUCGUGCGUGUUGCUGACACUGGUGCUCUUGCUGGUGCUGCUGCUCUGUGGCGCGCCUUCAUCACCUGGGUCCAGCCGACAGUUGGACGCUGUAUGAACCUAAUCUCUCGCGUGAUCGGUACGAUCCUCUUGUGAAGGCUUUUUCUGACCUUUCCUUGCUCAAAGGAACAGUCCCGGCUCUG